UAAUAUAUUCGAUUAAAUAUUUAUUCGCAAUGUUCGUACAACAAUUUUCAAUAAUUUUGCAAUAUAUAUAUGCAAGAGGCAUUACGCAUAGCGACCGCGUAACGCGUUUUUCGUACGAUUCCUUUUUCCGCCAGUAGCGCACGCGCUGAUUAACCUCGUGGCUGGUUCCGAUGUGCUUAGCCAAUGUUGUAGCAGCGCCGUUAGCUACAUGACGAUUUUUUGUAGUGUUAGUGCGACGUAUACAUAUGCGUGCACUGUUGCACACUAUUCAAUGCGCUCCAAGAAUUACCAAGUAGUGGAAUGUCACGUGAUACCGUCUUGUGGGUAUAUAAAGACGACCGAUUGCUGGUGGAAUCAGCCACUUGCGAAUUGGCUCUGAGGUUUGUGCUAUGGCUUGUUCCUUUUAUACUGACUAAGGAUUUCGAUAUAUAAGAUUGUUUAUCUUAAAGCAAGAGAAUCAUCGAAGAAAUUAUUUCCUAUUGUAUUACUUACGAUAUUAUUGAGAAAAAAGUGAAAAAAUAAUAAUAUACAUAUAUAUAUAUAAACAAAUAGCGAAUUAUAAAAAAAGACUCAUGUGAAAAUUAUUUGAGGUAGGUCAUUGAUUUCAAUGAUGGAUAGAAAAGUGACGUAGCUCGAUUACCAACUGCUUGAUCGUCAUAGAGAAAUGGACAACACGCAUGCGCGAGACGUUGCCCCUAUAGCAAGAAGUUCUAGAUAUGUAUAACGCGAAUGCGCAUGCCUACAGAUCAUAGAAAUAAAUCAAAAAAUAUAUAUAUAUAUAUACAAAUAUGAAUAUAAAUACACGAACAUAUAUAAUAAUAACAUAUUCAUAUAAAUAUAUAUUGAUAUGUCAAUUUUGAGAUUUUAUAAUCAAAAAUUGACUACAUUAUCUAUAAAAAACGAAUCUAGUGAGAUACAUAUUUUCAAAGUGGAGAGUUACCACGAUAACCACGAUAAAGAUCUCAUUUUAUGCGCAUGUAUUUGUUGCGUCUGGUAAAAUAUGUGAACGUCCUACACUGAAAGAGAGAGAUAGAGAAAAAGACGUGACGCAUGUGUCAGAGUCUGUGCAUCGGUUCCAAGGCCCUCUCCGAGCACUGCCUCCCGAGGAUUUCAACUUCUUUUUGUCCGGCGUUCAAGGUGAACCCGUACAAGAAAAAAAAUUCCCCAGUUCUCCUGAUUGUCAGAUAGCAAUACGGGACAGAAAAUAUACUGACCUACUGACUCUUUCAUAAGGGAUUUCCGGCAUUAGUAUUCAAUUGUUAUGUGUUAUAGUAACUAUUGAUUGUCAUUAUCCAAUUACAAGAAAUUUUCUGAUGUUGGAUAUAAAGUGCCACAAUUAAUCGCAAUCUAAACGCCAUCAUGAUUGUCGUGAAAUGAUUAAAUUUAAUGAACGCAUUAGAUCUGCGUUUAUGGAUCGCCUUAACGUACAAAUGAAGAAACGAUCGGUUGAUUUCGCGACCGCCCUAGCUGGGAGUCUGCUAAUAAAAGACGUUGCGCAAUCGUGGACGUUGGUGUUGCGCCGUAGAUAAUAAUAAGAACGUAGACUGACGAAGUGGAGAGAUCGGGUAGGGGAGAAGAGAGAAAGAAAGAGAGAUAGGACCUCUCUUUUUGCCUCCGUGUGUGUUCCUUCUUUCGAUACUAUCGAUGAAUAUGUGUGCAUACGCGAAUGCACAAACAUAAUAUUUUGUCGCGCAUGAGUUGUUGCGAAUCGCAGCGGCCGCGCACUAGUGCACUGGUGCAAUGAAAUCGAAGAGAAACUCUCGACUGAACCCAUAUUGUAUUUAUGGCUUCUUUCGAAGCUAUGGAUAAAUUCUUUGAAAUCUUUAAGAAAAUUAUAAUUUUCUCGUUUUUUAUUUUUAAUUUUUAAUCUUAUUUUUUUUUUAUCUCGUUUUAUUAAGAAAACAUUUUUUUUUAUUUUUUAUUUGGUUUUCGUAUUUCACUUUCGAUAAAGAAAUGUUUGUAAAUGGAAUCAAUCUAUAUUGAGAAUCAAAACACAUUAAUUAAAAUGUGAAAUUUCUAUCAUCAGUAUUUAUGAUCGAGAAUUGUCAUGAAAUUGUUUUGUCGAAUAACAUUCAUUUAUAA
rnacentral:lncRNA from 1 species